rnacentral:rRNA from 1 species
CAGCCGCCGCGGUAAUACGAAGGGGGCUAGCGUUGCUCGGAAUGACUGGGCGUAAAGGGCGCGUAGGCGGAUUGUUUAGUUAGGCGUGAAAUUCCUGGGCUUAACCUGGGGACUGCGCUUAAUACAGGCAGUCUAGAGUGAGGAAGAGGGUAGUGGAAUUUCCGGUGUAGCGGUGAAAUGCGUAGAUAUCGGAAGGAACACCUGUGGCGAAAGCGGCUCACUGGACCAUUUCUGACGCUGAUGCACGAAAGCUAGGGGAGCAAACAGGAUUAGAUACCCCGGUAGUCCCUGUCUCUUAUAC